CGAUGCUGUUCCGGGCCCGCUUGGCUGUGCUCUUGAACAUCAGGGGGUGACAGAUGGCGUACCACCGGUCCAAGGCGAUGCAGCUCAGCUUCUGAUUCUUUAGAUUCUCACUGGAAGUGUAAUUGGAAUAAAUUCUGCAGCCCAUAUGCAGUGCCUGAUUCUCAUCUCACCAUGUGAUCCUGGAGAGAAAAAAAUAUAGUGAAAGAAGUGGGAAAAUCGGCUUGUCAACUGUCUGUGAGUGACAUGAUUCUUCGCCAGGAGGAGUACCGAGCCUUCCACGCAGGGAACACACCAGCACUGUCCCACACCAGUGUCUGUCCGAGGAGAAGUUUACCAGGAUGAGAGGUGUCAGGAUCUGAGCAUCUGCAGCUCGAAUCAUUGGACAUCAAAGACCUUGUUUUCCAGGAAAUGUCAGCUUGAUUACCCAUGCUUUUUACUGUGCAGAUUUAAGAAGCUCUAGAAAUCUCAAACAGAAUAAAUCUAAGAGAAAAUCACAGUCUGUUAUAUUUUAAAACUCUCAAAAAGCGAUGAUAAAAGAAAAAAAAUCUUGACAUCAGAAGAAGAAAUACAUCACCUUCAAAUUAUCGUGACAAAAUUGACAGGAAACUGCUUCAUAUCCUGGACAGAACACCUGAUAAUGAACAGGGACAUCAUGACAAAAUUGGGCUGUUGGGAGAGGAAGAGUGGUUGUGGGUGAUUCAGACUUUGUUACUCUCCACAGAAUAUAUCUUGUUAAAUCAUUUUACAAAAGGGCACAUAGGGAGAAAUAACUUCUAACUGAUGGCAUUAUAUUUGUACAUUCAACAUGGUUGAUAUUUUCAAAG